CCUAACGUGGAUUAGAUACCCGAGUAGUCCACGCCCUAAACGAUGAGAACUAGCCGUUGGGGACGUUCAAGUUCUUGGUGGCGCAGCUAACGCGAUAAGUUCUCCGCCUGGGGAGUACGGCCGCAAGGCUAAAACUCAAAGGAAUUGACGGGGGCCCGCACAAGCGGUGGAGCAUGUGGUUUAAUUCGAUGCAACGCGAAGAACCUUACCUGCCCUUGACAUCCUCGGAAUCCCCCGGAGACGGGGGAGUG
rnacentral:rRNA from 1 species